UCAACCACUCUGUUAUGUCUCCGUACCGCCCUCUGUCGGGCGCCGUUUCACUCACCGAUGGCAGCAAAAGGCGGUAAUAGCGUAUGAAACGUCACCACUCCCUAGAUCGCAUGGCGGGAGACUUGAAUUUCAAUAAAGGCAUCUGGACCCUUCAGAUGCAAUUUUUGUCGUAAACUAAGUGUUUUCUUUGCACAAGACAAGCGUUUCUAGGUUUCUGGAAAGGUAUUUAAACAGUCCACGUCGACUUAGUAUUUGCCUUUAGUGUCC
rnacentral:lncRNA from 1 species